rnacentral:rRNA from 1 species
UACGAAGGGGGCUAGCGUUGUUCGGAAUUACUGGGCGUAAAGGGCCAGUAGGCGGCCAACUAAGUCACACGUGAAAUCCCCAGGCUUAACCUGGGAACUGCGUGUGAUACUGGAUGGCUUGAAUUCGGGAGAGGGAUGCAGAAUUCCAGGUGUAGCGGUGAAAUGCGUAGAUAUCUGGAGGAAUACCGGUGGCGAAGGCGGCAUCCUGGACCGACAUUGACGCUGAACGGCGAAAGCUAGGGGAGCAAACAGG